rnacentral:rRNA from 1 species
UACGUAGGGCGCAAGCGUGUCCGGAAUUAUUGGGCGUAAAGAGCUCGUAGGCGGUCUGUCGCGUCGGCUGUGAAAUCCCGGAGCUCAACUCCGGGUCUGCAGCUGAUACGGGCAGGCUUGAGUUCGGUAGGGGAGACUGGAAUUCCUGGUGUAGCGGUGAAAUGCGCAGAUAUCAGGAGGAACACCGGUGGCGAAGGCGGGUCUCUGGGCCGAUACUGACACUGAGGCACGAAAGCGUGGGGGAGCAAACAGG